ensembl:miRNA
GCCCCACCCUCAGGAGGAGGCUGACAUCUUCAGAGCAGGGUUUGAUCUGUGCUUCACUGACAUCAGUGAUUCUCCUGCUGCUUUUAU